UACGAAGGGGGCUAGCGUUGUUCGGAUUUACUGGGCGUAAAGCGUGUGUAGGCGGGUCGUUAAGUUGGGGGUGAAAUCCCGAGGCUCAACCUCGGAACUGCCUUCAAAACUGGCGACCUGGAGCAAAGAAGAGGCGAGUGGAAUUGCGAGUGUAGAGGUGAAAUUCGUAGAUAUUCGCAGGAACACCAGUGGCGAAGGCGGCUCACUGGCCCGGUACUGACGCUGAGGUGCGAAAGCGUGGGGAGCAAACAGG
rnacentral:rRNA from 1 species